rnacentral:rRNA from 1 species
GCCAGCCCAUCUUUGCGUGUCUUGGAGUCGGGUUGUUUGGGAUCGCAGCCCAAAGYAGGUGGUAAACUUCAUCUAAGACUGAAUAUGACUACGAGUCCGAUAGCGAACAAGUACCGUGAGGGAAAGUUGCAAAGCACUUUGAAGAGAGAGUUAAAGAGGACGUGAAACCGAUGAGGUGGAAACGGACAGAGCUGGCGUAUCUGGCCUGUAUUCAGCCGUGCGUCCGUUGGCGUCAGGGAUGCCGCUCUCCAGAUUGGGACGGUGGCCUGUCUGCUGGCGGAUGUGUGGUGCAUUUGCAGGUGGAGUGCGCUGAGGCRCUCGGGUCAGCGGCAUGAGCUCAGUGUUGAGGCCAGCCCCUCACGGGGUCUGGUACCCGCAUUGUGGGGAGUGCUGUUUGUCCUGGGUGUGUGGAGGGCAAUGGUUUCGGGUUCGUGUGGGUGCCGAGCUGGCAGUCGGUGGCGGUCGCGUGCGACACGUGCCAGCGGUCAGUUCGGUCCUGCUCGAGCUCUCAUCUGCUCGUCCUCGGUGUAAAAGCCGGUCAUCUGUCCGACCCGUCUUGAAAC